rnacentral:tRNA from 1 species
GGGGUUGUAGCUCAGUAGUAGAGCACUUGCCUAGCAUGUGUGAAGCACUGGGUUCGAUCCUCAGCAACACUU